AUUGAACGCUGGCGGCAGGCCUAACACAUGCAAGUCGAACGAGUGGCGGACGUGUGAUUAUUGUUUGGGAAACUGUCCGGUGGGGGGGGAUCUCUUGUGGAAACUGUAGCUAAUACCGCAUACUCUCGGAUGUGCCCAGAUGGGAUUAGCUAGUAGGUGGGGUAACGGCUCACCUAGGCGACGAUCCCUCGCUGGUCUGAGAGGAUGACCAGCCACACUGGAACUGAGACACGGUCCAGACUCCUACGGUAGGCAGCAGUGGGGAAUAUUGCACAAGGGGCGCAAGCCUGAUGCAGCCAUGCCGCGUGUAUGAAGAAGGCCUUCGGGUUGUAAAGUACUUUCAGCGAGGAGGCGUUACUCGCAGAAGAAGCACCGGCUAACUCCGUGCCAGCAGCCGCGGUAAUUC
rnacentral:rRNA from 1 species